rnacentral:rRNA from 1 species
CAUAACCUGGUUGAUCCUGCCAGUAGCAUACGCUUGUCUCAAAGAUUAAGCCAUGCAUGUCUAAGUAUAAACAUCUUUAUACCGUGAAACUGCGUACGGCUCAUUAUAUCAGUAAUUAUUUAUUUGAUGGUACCUUACUACAUGGAUAACCGUAGUAAUUCUAGAGCUAAUACAUGCACAAAGUCCCAACUCUCG